GGGGGUGCAUGGCUUCGACUUCGUUGACGAAGCGGGUGAAGCGAGCCGACGUCGCCGGAUCGUCGUGAAAGAGCCGGCACACCAACAACUGCUGAGGAUAACGACCUCGCACUCGCGGCCUAACCGAUUCAUUCGGUGAGGUCGUGCGCUCGGAGCCGGAUGUGCUGCUGGUUCGUCCGGGCGUCAUCCACAGUGGCUCACCGACGGGCUUGGCCCCAGGAGCUCGCCGGGACACUUCACUGAGGUUGGGGUCGCCGUAGGCGCCGGUGGACGGCGGCGACCCGACAACUUCCCGCCGGAUGCGCUCGGAGAAGCCCCGUCGAGGCAACGAAACACGCGGGUUCGAAUCCCGCCACCUCCAA
rnacentral:tmRNA from 1 species